CCUGGUCUGGAGGGGUGGCCCUACCUCGCUAGCCCCGGCCGCUGUGACCCAGGAAUUUCCAAACUGAAGUCAUGACACGCAGGGGGCGGGGGGCGCGUGAGGGAUACGGUCGGUGUCGGCGAUCAGAGGGCCACGCUCCGUCCACCCGACGCUAGGGCUGUUCGGAACAGCGAAGCAAGCAGGCCCGGACAGGCCCGGCGACAGUGGGUCCUGCCAGAGAGGCGCUGCGCCGUCCUCGCGUCCCUCCUCCCGCCCCCGAGUCCCCCGCCCCCGCGGCCUCACUUCCCCUUUUGUGAUUUGGCCGCUGGGGCGUCUUGACAGCCCCACCGAAAGGAAGCAGUCUGGUCCUGUGACUGGGAGCCCUGCGCUGUCCUUUGCCCGGCUGGAUGAGAAACUGAGAGCAACGGAGGAGGGCCGAGAGGUGCCCGCCCCCACCCAACCCCGCUCUGGUCUCCUGUCCCCUCCUCCCCUUUCUCUUUCCUCCCCUCCCCCUCCUUUUCUUCUCCCCUCCCAUCUCUCCCCUCGACCCCUCAAUCCGUAGCUUUUCUUGAGGCCAGGCGGUCAAGUAGCCCAGGCGGGUCUCAAACGCUCCGGGAUAGAGAAUGACCUUGAACUCGAGAUCCUUCCUUGUGCUCUACCACGCUCGGUUAUUUUAACCUUUGCUUUCAGUAGGCAAACCGAGUCAGACCCUGAACCCCGAGGUCGGGCCAAGAGAGCUCUCAAACCCUAGUCUUCCGAGACCCGGGAGCUUGCACUGCGGGACCUUGCGCGCCCCAAGCUUCCUGUUGUGGGAAGCCUGAGCAGUUGCCGUGGAGACCAGCUCCGGGCCAGGAGGUCGUGCUGCAGAGGCGGAAGGGAGAGGACUUCGACGCGCGCUCUUCCUCCCCGGGCGGCUCCUCUCACCCGCCCCCCGCAACCUGGGUAUUCCUAAGGAAUUUCCACGGGGACCUUUUGUUCCUGGGGGACCCCGGGACCACUGUGCUGGAGUUUCAGGGUGACCCCAGGGCAGUCUGGGGAAACCCUCGGAGAGGAUCUUUCUCGAGGUCCCUACCUGAUGUGUGUGAGCCCUCAGCCCCAAGUUCCCUUUGCAAGCCGCGAGAGCGCGAUUGUUUAAGCAGCGCCUCCCGGGUUCAGGACGCCGUCGAGCGCAGCCGAAGAGUGGAAAAUCCUGCCGGGAUCCCCAGAGGAGCGGAGAUGGGCAGGACUCAACUCCACUUCAACCGAAAAACUCAGCAGCACACAGCAGCCUGAAUCGACUCAGGAGACCGGAUGGCCGAGGUCAGCGUCGGCUACACAGUGCGAUUAAGGCCGCCCCCACCCCGCCCCCCGCGAGAGUUUGUUUUCGAGAACCGUCAAUUGGGGGCUGGAUGGGUCGCUCAGCUGGCCUGAAACCGAGAACCUCCUGCCUCCGCCUUCCCAGGGCUUUGUUAUAUGCAUAGGUAUAUGGCUAGAGUAAUGGCUCAGUAGUUAAAGAGUACUUACUGCUCUUCCAGAGGACCCGGGGUUCAAUCCCCACCACUCACAUGGUGGUUCACAACCAUCUGUAAGUCUAAUUCCAGCGGACCUGAUGCCCUCUUCUGGCCUCCAUGGGCACUGCACACAGAUGCUACAUAGAUACAUGCAAGCAAAACAUUCAUAAGCAUAAAAUAUAAAAUUAGAUUCUAUGUGUGUAUUUUGCCUUUAUGUGUGUGCAUACACUGAGUGUGUGCUGGUGCCCAUGAAGGCUAGUGAGGGUACCAGAUUCCCAGUUGUGGACAGUUGUGAGCCACCAUGUGGGUGCUAGGAACUGAACAACUGUUCUUUUUUGUUUGUUUUUCCAGACAGGGUUUCUCUGUGUAGCCUUGACUGACCUCAAACUCAGAGAUCCACCUGCCUCAGCCUCGAAAGUACUGGGAUUAAAGGUGUGUGUGACAUGUGUCUGCUGGGGAGACACAUGCCAGGGAGGCCAGUAUCAAGUCAGAUAUCAAGUCAGGUGCAGUGCAUGCCUGUAAUCCCAGCAGACAGUUCCAAGACAGCUAGGGCUACACAGAGAAACUCAUCUCCAGGAAAGAAAAGAGGGUGGUGGUUUUGGAGAGAGAGUGCAGCAGUUAAGAGCACUGGGUUGUUCUUCCAGAGGUCCUGAGUUCAAUUCCCAGCAACCACAUAGUAGUUCACAACCAUCAGUGGUUCUUCCGGCAUGCAGGUGUAUGUGCAGAUAGAAUACUCACACACACACACACACACACACACACACACACACACACACAUAUAUAUUAUAUAAAAGGCUAAACUGGUACACAGUGAAACCCUGCCUCCCAGACUAGACCCAUUGGACUUGUUGCAGUUUGGGGCCAGGGUCAACAAUGAUCCCUUGGUGCAGCCCUGAGAUCCUGGAGGGUCAUUGGCUAGGGUGGGGUGGGAAGGAAAGAGGCAACAGAAUUCGGAGUAUCGUUUUCUAGAAUUGCAUUCCUUUGCCGUUUCCUCCCCUGCCCUGUGCCUCAGUCUGCAGGAAGGGCAUGUCUUCCUCCCUGGUGCCAAGUGGUCUCACACAGACUAAGGGAUGUUCUGUAGAUCAGAACCUUCCCAGACUUAGUCCAUGAAUGACGUUACCCUCUGAGUUCUGGUGGGGAUACCUUGUAGUUCCCCCAAUCUGCCCUGCUUUCCCAAUCAUGUCAACAUGGCUUGUCCUCCUUUCUGGAGCCCGAGCCGGCUCAGUUUUUAUUUAUUUACUUUGAGAUAGGCUUUUGGUCUGUAGCCCAGGAUGACCCGGAACUCCUCGGCUUCUGCUUCCGACACUCACGAGCUGGGAUUACAGACAUGCACUGACACACCCUGCUUGUAUUUCCCUUAGCUUAAUGAGUGAAUGUAUUUUGUUGCUGUUGUUUUUGAGGCAAGGUUUCUCUGUAGCCUUGGCUGUCCUGGACCGAUCUGUGGUGUAAGUGAGCAUUCUAGGAUGCCCAGCUCUGUUUUGUUUUUUUUUUUUUUUUUUUAACUCAGACUUAAUAUGUAGCCCAGGCUGAACUCCCAACCCUCCUGCCUCGACUUCUCUAGUGUAUUUACUAUCUUGUCUGGCUGCAUCCCAAUAAUUUGAAACUACAUUCGAAGCUGGGUGUAGGGGUGCACACCUGUAAACUCCGCACUCAGGGAGGCAGAGGCAGUCGGAUCUCCGUGAGUUCAAGGCAAGCCUGGUCUACAGAGGGAUUCCAGGAUAGCCAGGACUACAGAGAGAAACCCUUUCUUGAAAAACCAAAACAGAAGAAAGUACAUUAGAGACCUAGUAUCACUUUCUUAGGAUGCCUUUUCCCUCCUGGCGUUGGCAGAAGAUCUCUGUGUGGAGGGACAAGUUCUGACUUCUUUUUUAUUUUAUUUUUUUCAGUGUGGGUGUUGAUGGAUCUGUUUCCUUCAAGUUCUAGUGUGGGCGGAACUAGCUGUGUGUCUAUACAGCUCUCCACUUAGGCUGGGUACCUUUAGCCGCCCAAGACACAACAGAGACUGGGCUAGCAUCAGCACACCUGUGACUUAUUCCAGUGCCUUGUUUGGUGGGUUUUUGUUUUCUGUAGCAAGGUUGUCCUGGACACACUUGUAGGCCAGGUUAGCCUUGAACUCAGAGAUGUGCCUACCUCCAGAGUGUUGGGAUUAAAGAUGUUCACUUGGCUUGUUUAUUUCUGAGCAGAGGAAACUUAAGUUUAUUAAGAAAUAAGAACCGCCAAGGGUGAGGAGUCCAGGACUGGAACACUCUUUAGUUUUUGAAAAAGUCUGUGGUAGCUCAGACUGGCUUCAAGCUGUGUAGCCAAGGGUAACUUUUUCAACCUUCCCUCCUGCUUCUGCCUCAAUGUUGGAAUGACAGGAGUGAGCCAUGCCUGCGUGGCCUUACUUUGUAGCUCAGGCUAUCCUUAAAAUAACAGUUUUCCAGCCUGUUUCCAAAGCGUUGCCAUGGAGCACGUGCCACACCCGGCUUUUGUGGCUUUUGUUUUUCUAGUUGCAGUGUGGAUAUGUUCAGCCAGAAGAGGGCUGGCAGACGCAGGGUGUGACUGAGGCUGCCUAGCUGUACACACAGCAACAGAAAGCUGUCCCGGUCAGCCUCGGUCCUUGUUUGGCCAGAUAGUGCUGGAUGUUUUCUUUGUGAAACCUGCCCAUUCUCUGGGGGCCUCCACCUCACAUCUUCCUCACUUAAAAAAAAUAUUGCCUUAGCUUUCGAGACAGGGUUUCUCUGUGUGGCCCUGUCUGUCCUGAAACUUGCUCUAUAGACCAGGCUGCCCUCAAACUUGGAGAUCUACCUGCCUCUGCCUCCUGAGUGCUGGAAUCAAAGGUGCGUUUCACCACUGUGCAGCUUAAAUGAUUCUUGUGUGUGCGUGUGUGUCUGUGUGAGGAUGUCUGAUCCCCUGCAACUGGAGCUACAGACAGUUGUGAGCUGACACCUACAUAGGUGCUAGAAAUUGAACCCAGAUCCUUUGGAGGGGCACUCAGUGCUCCUAACUGGUGAGGGUUCUCUCCAGCCCUCACUUUUCACUUAUAAUUCUGUUAUCUUUGGUAAAAAUAAAAUUAUGUAUGUGUAACCGGA